rnacentral:rRNA from 2 species
UCUGGCUCAGGACGAACGCUGGCGGCGUGCCUAAUACAUGCAAGUCGAACGAACUCUGGUAUUGAUUGGUGCUUGCAUCAUGAUUUACAUUUGAGUGAGUGGCGAACUGGUGAGUAACACGUGGGAAACCUGCCCAGAAGCGGGGCAUAACACCUGGAAACAGAUGCUAAUACCGCAUAACAACUUGGACCGCAUGGUCCGAGUUUGAAAGAUGGCUUCGGCUAUCACUUUUGGAUGGUCCCGCGGCGUAUUAGCUAGAUGGUGGGGUAACGGCUCACCAUGGCAAUGAUACGUAGCCGACCUGAGAGGGUAAUCGGCCACAUUGGGACUGAGACACGGCCCAAACUCCUACGGGAGGCAGCAGUAGGGAAUCUUCCACAAUGGACGAAAGUCUGAUGGAGCAACGCCGCGUGAGUGAAGAAGGGUUUCGGCUCGUAAAACUCUGUUGUUAAAGAAGAACAUAUCUGAGAGUAACUGUUCAGGUAUUGACGGUAUUUAACCAGAAAGCCACGGCUAACUACGUGCCAGCAGCCGCGGUAAUACGUAGGUGGCAAGCGUUCUCCGGAUUUAUUGGGCGUAAAGCGAGCGCAGGCGGUUUUUUAAGUCUGAUGUGAAAGCCUUCGGCUCAACCGAAGAAGUGCAUCGGAAACUGGGAAACUUGAGUGCAGAAGAGGACAGUGGAACUCCAUGUGUAGCGGUGAAAUGCGUAGAUAUAUGGAAGAACACCAGUGGCGAAGGCGGCUGUCUGGUCUGUAACUGACGCUGAGGCUCGAAAGUAUGGGUAGCAAACAGGAUUAGAUACCCUGGUAGUCCAUACCGUAAACGAUGAAUGCUAAGUGUUGGAGGGUUUCCGCCCUUCAGUGCUGCAGCUAACGCAUUAAGCAUUCCGCCUGGGGAGUACGGCCGCAAGGCUGAAACUCAAAGGAAUUGACGGGGGCCCGCACAAGCGGUGGAGCAUGUGGUUUAAUUCGAAGCUACGCGAAGAACCUUACCAGGUCUUGACAUACUAUGCAAAUCUAAGAGAUUAGACGUUCCCUUCGGGGACAUGGAUACAGGUGGUGCAUGGUUGUCGUCAGCUCGUGUCGUGAGAUGUUGGGUUAAGUCCCGCAACGAGCGCAACCCUUAUUAUCAGUUGCCAGCAUUAAGUUGGGCACUCUGGUGAGACUGCCGGUGACAAACCGGAGGAAGGUGGGGAUGACGUCAAAUCAUCAUGCCCCUUAUCACCUGGGCUACACACGUGCUACAAUGGAUGGUACAACGAGUUGCGAACUCGCGAGAGUAAGCUAAUCUCUUAAAGCCAUUCUCAGUUCGGAUUGUAGGCUGCAACUCGCCUACAUGAAGUCGGAAUCGCUAGUAAUCGCGGAUCAGCAUGCCGCGGUGAAUACGUUCCCGGGCCUUGUACACACCGCCCGUCACACCAUGAGAGUUUGUAACACCCAAAGUCGGUGGGGUAACCUUUU